GUGUCAGCAGCCGCGGUAAUACGGAGGAUGCGAGCGUUAUCCGGAUUUAUUGGGUUUAAAGGGUGCGUAGGCGGAUUGAUAAGUCAGUGGUGAAAUCCUGCAGCUUAACUGUAGCAUUGCCGUUGAUACUGUCAGUCUUGAGUAUGGUUAAGGUAGGCGGAAUGUGUAAUGUAGCGGUGAAAUGCUUAGAUAUUACACAGAACACCGAUUGCGAAGGCAGCUUACUGAACCAAAACUGACGCUGAGGCACGAAAGCGUGGGGAGCGAACAGGAUUAGAAACCCCUGUAGUCC
rnacentral:rRNA from 1 species